GAUGAACGCUGGCGGCGUGCCUAAUACAUGCAAGUCGAGCGAAUGGAUUAAGAGCUUGCUCUUAUGAAGUUAGCGGCGGACGGGUGAGUAACACGUGGGUAACCUGCCCAUAAGACUGGGAUAACUCCGGGAAACCGGGGCUAAUACCGGAUAACAUUUUGAACCGCAUGGUUCGAAAUUGAAAGGCGGCUUCGGCUGUCACUUAUGGAUGGACCCGCGUCGCAUUAGCUAGUUGGUGAGGUAACGGCUCACCAAGGCAACGAUGCGUAGCCGACCUGGGAGGGUGAGCGGCCACGUUGGGACUGAGACACGGCCCAGACUCCUACGGGAGGCAGCAGUAGGGAAUCUUCCGCAAUGGACGAAAGUCUGACGGAGCAACGCCGCGUGAGUGAUGAAGGCUUUCGGGUCGUAAAACUCUGUUGUUAGGGAAGAACAAGUGCUAGUUGAAUAAGCUGGCACCUUGACGGUACCUAACCAGAAAGCCACGGCUAACUACGUGCCAGCCGCCGCCGUAA
rnacentral:rRNA from 1 species